ACGGGUGAGUAACGCGUAUGCAACCUACCUAUCAGACGGGGAAUAACCCGGCGAAAGUCGGACUAAUACCGCAUAAAACAGGGGCACCGCAUGGUGAUAUUUGUUAAAGAAAUUCGCUGAUAGAUGGGCAUGCGUUCCAUUAGGUAGUUGGUGAGGUAACGGCUCACCAAGCCGACGAUGGAUAGGGAACUGAGAGGUUGGUCCCCCCACACUGGUACUGAGACACGGACCAGACUCCUACGGGAGGCAGCAGUGAGGAAUAUUGGUCAAUGGGCGGGAGCCUGAACCAGCCAAGUCGCGUGAAGGAAGAAGGAUCUAUGGUUCGUAAACUUCUUUUGCAGGGGAAUAAAGUGCAGGACGUGUCCUGUUUUGUAUGUACCCUGAGAAUAAGGAUCGGCUAACUCCGUGCCAGCAGCCGC
rnacentral:rRNA from 1 species